UAAUGAAGCUCAGCAACUACACAGCUUACAUGACAGCAUCAUAUGCUACGAUGUACUCUACAUUACUAACUUAGUAGGCUAAAGUAUCCUGCUUGGAACCUUUCCAGCAGAUUGCUUCUACAAUUAGGGUAUGAUCCAACACUUUCUUGUUGUCAUCUUGAUCUGACUGAAAUCAAAAUAUCCAUAUGUUUAAAGUCAGUAUUUCCAUAUUUGAGUCACUGGACCUUAGUAUUUUCCAAAUACUUAAAGAUUGUCAAUACAAUCUUCCAGUGGUUCUUACUUAGAUCAGGCUGGUAUCUACUCAUUACCAUUAGUGAGUAUACUAUAUCUGAUCUUGAACAUAGAGAAAUUAGAUGACACCCAAAUCUUUAUUGUUUGUAAUGCUAGAAUGCCAUUUCCGAUUAAGAGAAUUUCAUCCACAGACAAACAAGAAAUAACACUACAGAAUAUUUUGCCCACUUAUAAAUGCAGGGUUCAUCUUUAUUCAUAACAAAGACUUAUGUUCAAAACAUAUAUUCCCACUCUGGGAU
rnacentral:lncRNA from 1 species